GACGAACGCUGGCGGCGUGCCUAAUACAUGCAAGUAGAACGCUGAAGGAGGAGCUUGCUCUUCUGGAUGAAUUGCGAACGGGUGAGUAACGCGUAGGUAACCUGCCUGGUAGCGGGGGAUAACUAUUGGAAACGAUAGCUAAUACCGCAUAAGAGUAGAUGUUGCAUGACAUUUGCUUAAAAGGUGCAAUUGCAUCACUACCAGAUGGACCUGCGUUGUAUUAGCUAGUUGGUGGGGUAACGGCUCACCAAGGCGACGAUACAUAGCCGACCUGGGAGGGUGAUCGGCCACACUGGGACUGAGACACGGCCCAGACUCCUACGGGAGGCAGCAGUAGGGAAUCUUCGGCAAUGGACGGAAGUCUGACCGAGCAACGCCGCGUGAGUGAAGAAGGUUUUCGGAUCGUAAAGCUCUGUUGUAAGAGAAGAACGAGUGUGAGAGUGGAAAGUUCACACUGUGACGGUAUCUUACCAGAAAGGGACGGCUAACUACGUG
rnacentral:rRNA from 1 species